UACGGAGGGAGCUAGCGUUGUUCGGAAUUACUGGGCGUAAAGCGUGCGCAGGCGGUUUUGUAAGCCAGAUGUGAAAUCCCCGGGCUUAACCUGGGAAUGGCAUUUGGGACUGCAAGGCUCGAGUGCGGCAGAGGAGACUGGAAUUCCUGGUGUAGCAGUGAAAUGCGUAGAUAUCAGGAGGAACACCUAUGGCGAAAGCAG
rnacentral:rRNA from 1 species